rnacentral:lncRNA from 1 species
CAAGCUUUCCUCUCUCCCAGGCCUUCUUUCUGGCACUGCUGCUAUGAAGUAUUUGGGGCCGAUGAUGGAGGAAAACGAUGGAGAAAAGCAGCGGAUUCAUGUGCUUGGGAAUUUGCAUCCAACUCCAUAGCUGCAUUAGAUGGAGACUAGAGCCCACGAGACUGGGGAAGCUUUCUGAGAACCCCUGAAAUCAGUAGGUGUCCAGUCCUGAGAGUGAGGGCGCUCGGGUCAGAUGCGUGUGCUUGCUUGCUUGGACGCUUGCUUGCCUGGGCAUCCUCCUCCAUGCAAGACCCCCGUCUGUAUCUGAUUUCCUCCGGCUUAUCCCUUAGCAAUGUCUGGAGACAUGUAUAAAAACGACAAAGGAUUCAUGGAGACUUAGAAAAGCUGCAUGAUGGAAAACACUCGGAUCGGCGUGGAAUGUUGGCUAAUUCCUCCCAAUUACUCCAUGGGGAACAGACCAUUCUUGAACAUUUCAGGAAGUCAUGCAGGAUGGAUAGUCUGAACAGCACCUCAAGUGGGUGAAGUGCCAAAGAAGCGCGUGAGUUCCUGACAAGAAUCCCCACUGUGUCCCCUACCAAUCACUCCGAACAACAACACUGGCAGAUUUUGUACACUAUCAGCCUUAUUUAACCAGCCAUCAUUUCCUCUUAAAAAAAAAAAAAAAACAAAGAAGAAG